GGCGGGGUGGCAGAGUGGUUAUGCAGCGGCCUGCAAAGCCGUGGACGCCGGU
rnacentral:tRNA from 1 species